rnacentral:rRNA from 1 species
AGGGCGAACGCUGGCGGCAGGCUUAACACAUGCAAGUCGAGCGGGCGUAGCAAUACGUCAGCGGCAGACGGGUGAGUAACGCGUGGGAACGUACCUUUUGGUUCGGAACAACACAGGGAAACUUGUGCUAAAUACCGGAUAAGCCCUUACGGGGAAAGAUUUAUCGCCAAAAGAUCGGCCCGCGUCUGAUUAGCUAGUUGGUGAGGUAACGGCUCACCAAGGCGACGAUCAGUAGCUGGUCUGAGAGGAUGAUCAGCCACAUUGGGACUGAGACACGGCCCAAACUCCUACGGGAGGCAGCAGUGGGGAAUAUUGGACAAUGGGCGCAAGCCUGAUCCAGCCAUGCCGCGUGAGUGAUGAAGGCCCUAGGGUUGUAAAGCUCUUUGUGCGGGAAGAUAAUGACGGUACCGCAAGAAUAAGCCCCGGCUAACUUCGUGCCAGCAGCCGC